GACCUUGAAAUACCACCCUUUAAUGUUUGAUGUUCUAACGUGGACCCGUAAUCCGGGUUGCGGACAGUGUCUGGUGGGUAGUUUGACUGGGGCGGUCUCCUCCUAAAGAGUAACGGAGGAGCACGAAGGUUGGCUAAUCCUGGUCGGACAUCAGGAGGUUAGUGCAAUGGCAUAAGCCAGCUUGACUGCGAGCGUGACGGCGCGAGCAGGUGCGAAAGCAGGUCAUAGUGAUCCGGUGGUUCUGAAUGGAAGGGCCAUCGCUCAACGGAUAAAAGGUACUCCGGGGAUAACAGGCUGAUACCGCCCAAGAGUUCAUAUCGACGGCGGUGUUUGGCACCUCGAUGUCGGCUCAUCACAUCCUGGGGCUGAAGUAGGUCCCAAGGGUAUGGCUGUUCGCCAUUUAAAGUGGUACGCGAGCUGGGUUUAGAACGUCGUGAGACAGUUCGGUCCCUAUCUGCCGUGGGCGCUGGAGAACUGAGGGGGGCUGCUCCUAGUACGAGAGGACCGGAGUGGACGCAUCACUGGUGUUCGGGUUGUCAUGCCAAUGGCACUGCCCGGUAGCUAAAUGCGGAAGAGAUAAGUGCUGAAAGCAUCUAAGCACGAAACUUGCCCCGAG
rnacentral:rRNA from 2 species